GUGCUCAAUUUGGCAGCACGUAUACUAAAAUUGGAAUGAUACAGAGAAGAUUAGCACAGCCCCUGCCCAAGGAUGACAUGCAAAUUUGUGAAAUGUUACAUAUUUUU
rnacentral:snRNA from 1 species